GAGUUUGAUCUUGGCUCAGAGCGAACGUUAGCGGCGGGCCUAACACAUGCAAGUCGAACGAGAAAGCCCUUUCGGGGGCGAGUACAGUGGCGCACGGGUGAGUAACACGUAGGUAAUCUACCCUCCGGCGGGGGACAACGUUCCGAAAGGGACGCUAAUACCGCAUAAGACCACGGUCUCUAAGGGGACAGUGGGAAAAGGUGGCCUCUCCUUGGAAGCUACCACCGGAAGAUGAGCCUGCGUCCCAUCAGCUAGUUGGUAGGGUAAUGGCCUACCAAGGCGAAGACGGGUAGCUGGUCUGAGAGGAUGAUCCGCCACACUGGGACUGAGACACGGCCCAGACUCCUACGGGAGGCAGCAGUGGGGAAUUUUGGACAAUGGGGGCAACCCUGAUCCAGCCAUGCCGCGUGAGUGAAGAAGGCCUUCGGUUGUAAG
rnacentral:rRNA from 1 species